AGUGAACGCUGGCGGCGUGCCUAAUACAUGCAAGUCGAACGGAGUGGCGCACGGGUGAGUAAUCUAUAGCUAAUCUGCCCUACACUAGAGGGCAACCGUUGGAAACGACUGCUAAUACUCUAUAGUUUAGGAUGAGGCUAUAUUGUAUCAGCUAGUUGGUGAGGUAAUGGCUCACCAAGGCUAUGACGCAUAACUGGUCUGAGAGGAUGAUCAGUCACACUGGAACGGAGACACGGUCCAGACUCCUACGGGAGGCAGCAGUAGGGAAUAGUGCUCAAUGGGGGAAAGCCUGAAGCAGCAACGCCGCGUGUAGGAUGAAACUUUUCGGAGCGUAAACUCCUUUUGUUAGAGAAGCGUUAGUAACUGAGCGUCCCCUGACGGUAUCUAACCAGAAAGCCACGGUAACUACGUGCCAGCAGCCGCGGUAAUAC
rnacentral:rRNA from 1 species